rnacentral:rRNA from 1 species
UACGUAGGGUGCAAGCGUUAAUCGGAAUUACUGGGCGUAAAGCGUGCGCAGGCGGUUUUGUAAGUCUGACGUGAAAUCCCCCGGGCUCAACCUGGGAAUGGCGAUGGAUACUGGCUCGCUAGAGUGUGAUAGAGGAUGGUGGAAAUUCCCGGUGUAGCGGUGAAAUGCGUAGAGAUCGGGAGGAACAUCAGUGGCGAAGGCGGCCGACUGGGCCGACCCCUGACGCUGAGGCGCGAAGGCGUGGGAGCGAACGGG